GGACCCGUGGCGCAGCGGUAGCGCGUGAGAUUCCAGGUGCGGGAUAUCCUCAAGGUCAUCCGUUCGAUCCGGGUCGGGUUCA